AUGCCCGGGAGCAGCGAUCAGCAAUCAGAAGUGGCCCUUAGUUAUCACUUCAUGACACCCAGAGCUAAGAUGGAACGUCUGUGCCAGGACUUAAUGAUCACCUGUUUCUCAAGAAGACAGCUACAGCAGCUAGAAUGAGCCCUAUGAUUCAGUGAGUGUGAGCCCAAGAGAGCUGGAAUAUCACAUUUCCUUGGGAAAAUCACUCCAAACUCAUCUUAGCAGCUCUACCUCAACCAAUAAUCCUGUUUAUCAAGAUAGCAGUGCCUUCAUCAACAAUUAAUUGAUUUGCUUAAGUUGAAGUAAUGAAUGAUCAGUCUCCCAUGGCUUCUCUCCAGUUCUCAAUCUCUCCUGAUCAGAACUGACAUAUCAAUGUAAUGAACGGCCUCUGUUCUCUUGUCUUCCAGCCAUAGAAAACACCACCACUUCCAAUUAAAUUCUACAUGAUUUAUAGAAACCCACAAGCUCACUUGCCUUAAUUCUUCCUUCUUCUGCUCUUGUGAUCCUAUUAAAUUUCUUCCUUAAAAUCUAGUGCUCCUUACUUUGAAAUGGUGUGGGUUGUCUGCAAAAAAUUUGGAAAAAAGAAUGGGCUAAAGGAAAUCUGAAAAAUAGUAAUAGCUUCCUAUCACUUAACGAGCAGUACCAUGUUCCCAAAAAAAGGCACUGUACACUUUAGUGAGGAGUGUAUUCAUUACCUUAGUAAAUCCUACAAAUCUCUAUAAUCCCCCCUUGAAAAAGGGCAGAUUGUCCCU
rnacentral:lncRNA from 1 species